CAUUAGGUGACUGAAUCUCAAGUGUUGGUCUCUUAAACCAAAUUAUAGUAAAUUACUUCUAAUGA
rnacentral:tRNA from 1 species